rnacentral:rRNA from 1 species
AUUGAACGCUGGCGGCAGGCCUAACACAUGCAAGUCGAACGAGUGGCGGACGGGUGAGUAAUGUCUGGGAAACUGCCCGAUGGAGGGGGAUAACUACUGGAAACGGUAGCUAAUACCGCAUACCAUCGGAUGUGCCCAGAUGGGGUUAGCUAGUAGGUGGGGUAACGGCUCACCUAGGCGACGAUCCCUAGCUGGUCUGAGAGGAUGACAAGCCAAACGGGAACUGAGCAACGGUCAAGAAUCCUACGGGAGGCAGCAGUGGGGAAGAUUGCACAAUGGGCGCAAGCCUGAUGCAGCCAUGCCGCGUGUGUGAAGAAGGCCUUCGGGUUGUAAAGCACUUUCAGCGGGGAGGCGUUACCCGCAGAAGAAGCACCGGCUAACUCCGUGCCAGCAGCCGCGGUAAUAC